UACGUAGGUGGCAAGCGUUAUCCGGAAUUAUUGGGCGUAAAGAGCGCGCAGGUGGUUAAUUAAGUCUGAUGUGAAAGCCCACGGCUUAACCGUGGAGGGUCAUUGGAAACUGGUUGACUUGAGUGCAGAAGAGGGAAGUGGAAUUCCAUGUGUAGCGGUGAAAUGCGUAGAGAUAUGGAGGAACACCAGUGGCGAAGGCGGCUUCCUGGUCUGCAACUGACACUGAGGCGCGAAAGCGUGGGGAGCAAACAGU
rnacentral:rRNA from 1 species